AUUGAACGCUGGCGGCAUGCUUUACACAUGCAAGUCGAACGGUAACAGGCCUUCGGGUGCUGACGAGUGGCGAACGGGUGAGUAAUGCAUCGGAACGUGCCCAGAGGUGGGGGAUAACGCAGCGAAAGCUGUGCUAAUACCGCAUGUGAUCUGAGGAUGAAAGCGGGGGUCCACGCAGCAAUGUUUGGCCUCGCGCCUCUGGAGCGGCCGAUGUCAGAUUAGGUAGUUGGUGGGGUAAAGGCCUACCAAGCCGACGAUCUGUAGCUGGUCUGAGAGGACGACCAGCCACACUGGGACUGAGACACGGCCCAGACUCCUACGGGAGGCAGCAGUGGGGAAUUUUGGACAAUGGGCGCAAGCCUGAUCCAGCAAUGCCGCGUGCGGGAAGAAGGCCUUCGGGUUGUAAACCGCUUUUGUACGGAACGAAAAGGCUCUGGCUAAUACCUGGGGCUGAUGACGGUACCGUAAGAAUAAGCACCGGCUAACUACGUG
rnacentral:rRNA from 1 species